CCUACGGGAGGCAGCAGUGAGGAAUAUUGGUCAAUGGCCGGAAGGCUGAACCAGCCAUGCCGCGUGAAGGUCAGUGCCCUAUGGGCGUUAAACUUCUUUUGUGCGGGAGCAAUAAUGGUCACGUGUGGCCAGACGAGAGUACCGGACGAAUAAGCAUCGGCUAACUCCGUGCCAGCAGCCUAGGUAAUACGGGGGAGGCAAGCGUUAUCAGGAUUUAUUGGGUUUAAAGGGUGCGUAGGCUGUGAGGUAAGUCAUCGGUGAAAUGCCACCGCUCAACGGGGUGAAGUGCCAUUGAUACUGCCUUUCUGGAUUGCGUAUGCCGUGUGAGGAAUGUGUGGUGUAGCAGUGAAAUGCAUAGAUAUCACACAGAACACCGAGUGCGAAGGCAUCUCACGAAUCCGCGAUUGACGCUGAUGCACGAAAGCGUGGGUAUCAAACAGGAUUAGAUACCACUGUAGUC
rnacentral:rRNA from 1 species